rnacentral:rRNA from 1 species
AAUCUGCAAGUCGAGCGAACAGAUGAGGAGCUUGCUCCUUUGAUGUUAGCGGCGGACGGGUGAGUAACACGUGGGUAACCUACCUAUAAGACUGGGAUAACUUCGGGAAACCGGAGCUAAUACCGGAUAAUAUUUCGAACCGCAUGGUUCGAUAGUGAAAGAUGGCUCUGCUAUCACUUAUAGAUGGACCUGCGCCGUAUUAGCUAGUUGGUAAGGUAACGGCUUACCAAGGCAACGAUACGUAGCCGACCUGAGAGGGUGAUCGGCCACACUGGAACUGAGACACGGUCCAGACUCCUACGGGAGGCAGCAGUAGGGAAUCUUCCGCAAUGGGCGAAAGCCUGACGGAGCAACGCCGCGUGAGUGAUGAAGGUCUUCGGAUCGUAAAACUCUGUUAUUAGGGAAGAACAAACGUGUAAGUAACUGUGCACGUCUUGACGGUACCUAAUCAGAAAGCCACGGCUAACUACGUGCCAGCAGCCGCGGUAAUACGUAGGUGGCAAGCGUUAUCCGGAAUUAUUGGGCGUAAAGCGCGCGUAGGCGGUUUUUUAAGUCUGAUGUGAAAGCCCACGGCUCAACCGUGGAGGGUCAUUGGAAACUGGAAAACUUGAGUGCAGAAGACGAAAGUGGAAUUCCAUGUGUAGCGGUGAAAUGCGCAUAGAUAUGGAGGAACACCANUGGCGAAGGCGACUUUCUGGUCUGNCACUGACCCUGAUGUGCCACUUUCUGGGGAU